AACGAACGCUGGCGGCCUGCCUAACACAUGCAAGUCGAACGAGACCUUCGGGUCUAGUGGCGCACGGGUGCGUAACGCGUGGGAACCUGCCCUUAGGUUCGGAAUAACUCCCCGAAAGGGGUGCUAAUACCGGAUAAUUUCUUCGGACCAAAGAUUUAUCGCCUUUGGAUGGGCCCGCGUUGGAUUAGCUAGUUGGUAGGGUAAAAGCCUACCAAGGCGACGAUCCAUAGCUGGUCUGAGAGGAUGAUCAGCCACACUGGGACUGAGACACGGCCCAGACUCCUACGGGAGGCAGCAGUGGGGAAUAUUGGACAAUGGGCGAAAGCCUGAUCCAGCAAUGCCGCGUGAGUGAUGAAGGCCUUAGGGUUGUAAAGCUCUUUUACCCGGGAUGAUAAUGACAGUACCGGGAGAAUAAGCUCCGGCUAACUCCGUG
rnacentral:rRNA from 1 species